rnacentral:rRNA from 1 species
CAGCCGCCACGGGAAAACGGAGGGUGCAAGCGUUAUCCGGAUUUAUUUGGUUUAAAGGGUCCGUAGGCGGAUCUGUAAGUCAGUGGUGAAAUCUCACAGCUUAACUGUGAAACUGCCAUUGAUACUGCAGGUCUUGAGUAAAUUUGAAGUGGCUGGAAUAAGUAGUGUAGCGGUGAAAUGCAUAGAUAUUACUUAGAACACCAAUUGCGAAGGCAGGUCACUAAGAUUUAACUGACGCUGAUGGACGAAAGCGUGGGGAGCGAACAGGAUUAGAUACCCCGGUAGUCCCUGUCUCUUAUAC